UGGGGAAUAUUGCACAAUGGGCGCAAGCCUGAUGCAGCCAUGCCGCGUGUAUGAAGAAGGCCUUCGGGUUGUAAAGUACUUUCAGUCGGGAGGAAGGUGGUAAGGUUAAUAACCUUAUCAAUUGACGUUACCGACAGAAGAAGCACCGGCUAACUCCGUGCCAGCAGCCGCGGUAAUACGGAGGGUGCAAGCGUUAAUCGGAAUUACUGGGCGUAAAGCGCACGCAGGCGGUUGAUUGAGUCAGAUGUGAAAUCCCCGGGCUUAACCCGGGAAUUGCAUCUGAUACUGGUCAGCUAGAGUCUUGUAGAGGGGGGUAGAGUUCCAUGUGUAGCGGUGAAAUGCGUAGAGAUGUGGAGGAAUACCGGUGGCGAAGGCGGCCCCCUGGACAAAGACUGACGCUCAGGUGCGAAAGCGUGGGGAGCAAACAGG
rnacentral:rRNA from 1 species